rnacentral:rRNA from 1 species
UACAGAGGGUGCAAGCGUUAAUCGGAAUUAUUGGGCGUAAAGAGCUCGUAGGCGGUUUGUCGCGUCUGCUGUGAAAACUCGGGGCUUAACUCCGGGCCUGCAGUGGGUACGGGCAGACUCGAGUCCGGUAGGGGAGUGUGGAAUUCCCGGUGUAGCGGUGAAAUGCGCAGAUAUCGGGAGGAACACCAGUAGCGAAGGCGGCACUCUGGGCCGGAACUGACGCUGAGGAGCGAAAAGCGUGGGUAGCAAACAGG